GAACACAGAAUAACUCCGUGUCUUUCCUGCCAUGGGCCAUUUGUUUUACCCACAUGAAAUAAAAGAGACCCUUCAGCUGGGUGGAGGUGGCUGAGAAGGAAGGGAAACAACAUAGACACAAUCUCUGGAGCUGCUGGCCUCACCCUCCACUAGCUUCUCUGUUUCAGGUUUCUUUCCGCAGGCUUGAUAAAAUGCCUUUCUUGUCAUCAUGUAUCAAAGCUACUUUCAUCAUCGCUUUGGCAUUUCCUCUUUAUUCUGAAACUUCUUUGGGAUCUAAAACACAAACUCGCAGUCCGCCAGACUGUAAAGUGUAUGCAGAUAGACUACAUCAUUGCACCAGAGAAAUGGAUCCAGUCUGUGCAAAGAAUGGCCACACUUAUAGCAAUAGAUGUCAAUUCUGCAGUGCAAAGUUAGAAAAUGAAGGAGUUGAAUUUCGUCGUUAUGGUAGAUGCUGACUUUUUAACCUUAUUUUUACAAAUUCUUAUGGCUUUUAUGUAAUCCUAUUUUAUGGUGGAUUCUACAACCAGCUAGUGUCUUCUCAAUCAGGGCCUUAAAUUCCUAGAUGACCAGCUGUAUCCCAGGCACUCGGAAUAGAAUCUACCACAGAGGGGGCACCUGGUAAAUGUUUGCUGCUGGAAUGAUGGUUACUACGUCGCAUCUGGAGAUGUAUUUUGUCUGAGUUUCCCCAGGAAGAUGUUAUUUGUAAAAGCAUGCUCUACUACAUGAAAGUACUCAAAGGGGCAGUUUCCAAGACUUCCAUUUGGAUUGUUCAGAAUGAGAUAUUUAAAUAUCCAAUUGUGUAUCUUCAUUGGACGGAGCCAGCUACAUGGAGACUGAGAUUGUUAUCUAAAGAACUGUGUUUUGGGGAUGAACACGCUUGAAGCUCUGACUUGGGCAGGGCAAAGUCAAUACAUGUAACCUAAACAAUUGUGCU